rnacentral:rRNA from 1 species
UACGGGGGGGGGCAAGCGUUGUUCGGAAUUACUGGGCGUAAAGGGCUCGUAGGCGGCCAACUAAGUCGGACGUGAAAUCCCCAGGCUCAACCUGGGAACUGCGUCCGAUACUGGAUGGCUUGAAUCCGGGAGAGGGAUGCAGAAUUCCAGGUGUAGCGGUGAAAUGCGUAGAUAUCUGGAGGAACACCGGUGGCGAAGGCGACAUCCUGGACCGGUAUUGACGCUGAGGCGCGAAAGCGUGGGGAGCAAACAGG